UAAAGCACUUUAGGUUGGGAAGAAGGUAUGUAGUUUAAGAGAUGACAUAUUUGACUGUACCAACAGAAUAAGCACCGGCUAACUCUGUGC
rnacentral:rRNA from 1 species